AUGACGUCAAAUCAUCAUGCCCCUUAUGUUCUGGGCUACACACGUGCUACAAUGGCCGGUACAGACGGACGCAAAGCCGCGAGGCGGAGCAAAUCCGAAAAAGCCGGUCUCAGUUCGGAUUGCAGGCUGCAAUUCGCCUGCAUGAAGUCGGAAUCGCUAGUAAUCGCAGGUCAGCAUACUGCGGUGAAUACGUUCCCGGGCCUU
rnacentral:rRNA from 1 species